AAACUUUAUUUACAAAAACAGACAGUGGACCAGAUUUGGCCCCAGAGAUCAUAGUCUGCUGACUUCUGUUCUAGAAUAUAAGCAGAAAGAGAAUCUGGAGUUCUAAUUAUCACAAGCAUGUCCAAUCAUCCAGACCACGUCUUUCAGGUCUAAUUCCCACUUGAGAGGUACCAGCUGAGCCCCUACUGCAAGGCUAAUAUGUUAAACACUAUGGAGAUAAGAAAAAUCACAAGACAGGCCCUUGUGACACGAGUGCAUGGAAAGUUAAGCUAUAGACAAGAGUGCUUCUGACAUUUGGCUAUGAGACUGAAACUCCACCUACAGGAAGGCUGUUCAGUCUGGAGCGUCUGGGCCUAGAUAAUUCUGUCAGCUCUGGAGGUUCCUUACAGAUAUUCGUCUACAAAGAUUUACUCUUCUGCUGGGAGGAACUUAAAUGAUAAGACAACUGGGGAUCAGAGAGUUGAUACAGCUAGUAAGUCGCAGAGACCACAUUCACACCUUAGUCCUUCUGAUUGCAAGUCUAUGCUUUCUUCAACUAUGGCACACUUCCUCUCACACUAACUUAUAAAUCAGUAAAA
rnacentral:lncRNA from 1 species